rnacentral:lncRNA from 1 species
UGGACCAAGUGUCAAUUGGGAAGGAUCAGGUCAGCGGGACACCGGCCAGGAUGGGAAAUAAAUCAAAGCCGGGCGUUUCAGGGAGAAGGGCCAAAUGUCUCUGCAGCAAGGCCUCUCUGGGCUCCCAGCCCGGGCGCGAGGCCUCCUCGGCGGCCGGGGAAGGAACGUGCUGCAGCUGCGGGGCCGUGAAAUCGAUGGGGGCGCCUGCGGGGAAACGGCCAGUCUCCCAGACAGCAUCCCCUGGGCCCAGUCACCAACCAGCUUGGAAUCAGUCUCUAAAUGGCACUUACCAGGUUUCUGGAACUUUCUUCGGUCCAAAGGAGGUCCAGUUCUUUGUCUGGUGUGGUCCUCACGCCCAUGUUGAACGAGAGCACAGAAGCACCAAGACGCACAUUCACUUGCUAGUUAGGUGCACUAACUAGCUCCUCAGUGCUUGUGAAACUAGACUCUGGUUUUCUGACCCCAGAGGGAAGUGGUUUUCACUCACUCAAUGCCUCCUCAAAUAGUUGCCCAUUCCUAUUGUUCCUUUGGAGCCUAGGGCCCAGCGGGGAGGAAUGGUGGGUGCUCCUGCCGGGGCAACUGCAGGUCGCUCACAUUGGGUGCUCAGACUCCCUGAGAGAGUGCCGUUGAUAUAUUGCAUAACUUAACUUUCACAACCACACUUUCAGUAGAUAUUAUUCUUCCAAUCUUGUGAGCGAACCGAAGCUUGUAGAGGAAGAAUAAGUGGUGAUCAGCUACCCACACUGGGGACCGACCUUGCAUUUAACCUGUCAGAGGCCGUUUACCAUCCUUCCCUAGUUUCCACCGAACCGCAGUGGGCUGAGCAAAUCCAUCUCCACAGCGCUGGGGAGGGAAGGCUCUGGGAGAACAGGGUGCAGCACUGUGGCGGGAGGAUGGCUACUCCUUCUUCCCUCUGCUUCCCACCUCUGACUUGCGCGGAUUCAGGGAUGCUCUCCCUGCCAACUGUGUGAAAGAUUUGCUUAUGGGAAAAAAGAGCAGCGCUGUGUCCACAGCUUCCUAAAGGGAGAUGCUGGUUUUGAAGGGAAGAGUUCUCUUGGGGAUG